rnacentral:rRNA from 1 species
UACGUAGGUGGCAAGCGUUAUCCGGAAUUAUUGGGCGUAAAGAGCGCGCAGGUGGUUGAUUAAGUCUGAUGUGAAAGCCCACGGCUUAACCGUGGAGGGUCAUUGGAAACUGGUCGACUUGAGUGCAGAAGAGGGAAGUUGAAUUCCAUGUGUAGCGGUGAAAUGCGUAGAGAUAUGGAGGAACACCAGUGGCGAAGGCGGCUUCCUGGUCUGUAACUGACGCUGAGGCUCGAAAGCGUGGGGAGCAAACAGGAUUAGAUA